UUACCUGGUCUUGACAUCCACAGAACUUACCAGAGAUGGAUUGGUGCCUUCGGGAACUGUGAGACAGGUGCUGCAUGGCUGUCGUCAGCUCGUGUUGUGAAAUGUUGGGUUAAGUCCCGCAACGAGCGCAACCCUUAUCCUUUGUUGCCAGCGGUUAGGCCGGGAACUCAAAGGAGACUGCCAGUGAUAAACUGGAGGAAGGUGGGGAUGACGUCAAGUCAUCAUGGCCCUUACGACCAGGGCUACACACGUGCUACAAUGGCAUAUACAAAGAGAAGCGACCUCGCGAGAGCAAGCGGACCUCAUAAAGUUUUCUUAGUCCGGAUUGGAGUCUGCAACUCGACUCCAUGAAGUCGGAAUCGC
rnacentral:rRNA from 1 species